rnacentral:lncRNA from 1 species
UCGAGAAAAUGAAGCGUCUUCGAUCGCGAUCUAAAUUGUAAACUAUAGUAUUAGACUGAAAAAAACCGAAAAUAAUAGUAAUUAUUAUUAUUAAAUAAAGAGAAAGUGUUAUUGAUAAUGGUAAUAAUAAGUGAAGAUGAAGAUGAAAUUGAAAAAAAAAAAUACCGUGGAAAAAUGGCGAAGGGGUGAGAGUCUAAGAACUAAGAAGGCACAACUCUUCUUCCCCAGCCAUCAUCUAAUAUGAUAUGAUGAUGAAUUGAAUAUACGUUGAAAAAGGUAAGUUUUUAUUUCAUUACCAAAUUAAGCAACAAUAUUA